UGGGGAAUUUUGGACAAUGGGCGAAAGCCUGAUCCAGCAAUGCCGCGUGUGUGAAGAAGGCCUUCGGGUUGUAAAGCACUUUUGUCCGGAAAGAAAUCCUUGGCUCUAAUACAGUCGGGGGAUGACGGUACCGGAAGAAUAAGCACCGGCUAACUACGUGCCAGCAGCCGCGGUAAUACGUAGGGUGCAAGCGUUAAUCGGAAUUACUGGGCGUAAAGCGUGCGCAGGCGGUUUGCUAAGACCGAUGUGAAAUCCCCGGGCUCAACCUGGGAACUGCAUUGGUGACUGGCAGGCUAGAGUAUGGCAGAGGGGGGUAGAAUUCCACGUGUAGCAGUGAAAUGCGUAGAGAUGUGGAGGAAUACCGAUGGCGAAGGCAGCCCCCUGGGCCAAUACUGACGCUCAUGCACAAAAGCGUGGGGAGCAAAACAGGAUUAGAUACCCUGGUAGUCCACGCCCUAAAACGAUGUCAACUAGUUGUUGGGGGAUUCAUUUCCUUAGUAACGUAGCUAACGCGUGAAGUUGACCGCCU
rnacentral:rRNA from 1 species